rnacentral:rRNA from 1 species
GACGAACGCUGGCGGCGUGCUUAACACAUGCAAGUCGAACGGAAAGGCCUGCUUUCCCUUGUGGAUUGCGGGUACUCGAGUGGCGAACGGGUGAGUAACACGUGAGUGAUCUGCCCCCAACUUGGGUAUAAGCCUGGGAAACUGGGUCUAAUUCCCGAUAGGACUGCAGGGUGGUGCCUGUGGUGGAAAACGAUUUUCUAGUGGUUGGGGAUGAGCUCGCGGCCUAUCAGCUUGUUGGUGGGGUAAUGGCCUACCAAGGCGGCGACGGGUAGCCGGCCUGAGAGGGUGGACGGCCACAUUGGGACUGAGAUACGGCCCAGACUCCUACGGGAGGCAGCUGUGGGGAAUAUUGCACAAUGGGCGGAAGCCUGAUGCAGCGACGCCGCGUGGGGGAUGACGGCCUUCGGGUUGUAAACUCCUUUCGACCGCGAGGAAGCCACCUGGUUGGAAGGGUGGUGACGGUAGUGGUAGAAGAAGCACCGGCUAACUACGUG